rnacentral:rRNA from 1 species
UACGUAGGGUGCGAGCGUUGCCCGGAUUUAUUGGGCGUAAAGGGCGCGUAGGCGGCCACGCACGUCCGUUGUGAAAUCGCCCGGCUCAACGUGGGCGGGGUCAGCGGAUACGGUGUGGCUAGAGCAAGCUAGGGGGCAAUGGAAUUCCCGGUGUAGUGGUGGAAUGCGUAGAUAUCGGGAGGAACACCAGUGGCGAAGGCGGUUGCCUGGAGCUUUGCUGACGCUGAUGCGCGAAAGCGUGGGGAGCGAGCCGG